UCCUUCCAUAUCUCCUGAGACUCCUAGGGCCAAGACCUGAGCCGCCUAGGACAGACACGGAGUCGAGCCACACAGUGACCCAGAAGUUCAGCCUCAUCAGAGCAGAGCGGUAGGUAAUGCAAGGUGCCCGCCGUCCUUACCCGUCACCGUGACCGUCAUCCUCCUGCAGCAACAGGUCCUUGCUGAGGCCGACCUUCUCCAGCUCCUGGCUCAGCUUGUCCAGCUCGCUGCUUAGCUGCUGGCUCUUCAACUUCUCCAGCACCAGGUCCUGCAAGACAGGAAACACCACUGUGGAUGGGAGUCACAGCUUUGAGCCAUCUCUUCCCCAAACCUGUUGGUUUCAGAUGUUUCAGGCAAGCAGGCUGGCUGAUGGUGUGGUCAACUCCAGAAUGCUCCACCAAAAGAAAGGGGUGAACAGCCUUUCCCAGCCCUCCUGUGCUGUGAACAACGGACCACGUGGCAACAGAGAACAGAACCGGAGUGCUCUUCAAAACGGAAUCCGGACGAUGAGGUCGAGUUCAUCUCCACGGUCCCCUUGGCUUCCAUCCUCAAGCUCGCUGGGGGGAGCUAUUACCUCCUGCCUGAGGCACAGAUAUCCCUCCGACCAAAUCAUAUGCAGAAUAGUACCCCCACCGUGCAAUUUUCCAGACAGGAGCAGGAUAGCACCCUGGAUUGGUAAAUCCCAGGACAGAUGGCAGACUGCUGUCCAGACUGUGGCACAUAGCAGCCUGUAGUCGCCUUAGGCUGAGCUCCAGAGAGCAUCAUCAUCUCUCUCCCUUGAUCCUCUACUGCCAUGUGCUGAGGAGCCAGGACGCUCCGCUAUGGGAUGGUUUAAUCACAAGCUGGAAGGAGCCUGGUACCUGAAUCAGUGAGCGGAAGACUCCUGGAACAUAGGCUGAGACAAAACCUGCAGGUUGGACCACCCAGACGCUAAUGCUGUCCUCUAGAGCUAUACCGUAAACAAGCACCCGACAAUCCAAAGAGACACCAGGGAAGCACAGGAUGCCACAGGCUAAAUGGUCACACACUUUGGUCCCAUUGCUCCAGUUCCAGGAACACGUCCUUUACAAAGUGCCUGAUGUGUCCAAGGAUGUCCAAGACCACUGAAGCGGGAAGAGCUGGGGACGCUGCUCAGAGAGCAUGCUCAAGACUGCGUGUUCUCAAUCCUCAACACCAAAGAGGAAGAAAAAGACCCCAAGCCCCAAACAAAACAGCGGGGAAUACUGGAAACAAUCUAAGGGGCCUAUAAUUAGCAAAGUAAAUCUGUAGGCUUUAGUAUCUUGGCUUUCAAACCUGUUCACUGUGGGGACAGUGACUCUGCAGCCAAGGGCAUUUGCUGACAAGCCUGGCAACCAGAACCCAAAUGUUGGGACGACAGAAAAGACUCCCUCUCACACAUGCCUACAGACACACACAUACAAAAGUAAAUAAAUAAAUGGAAGAAAAGAAAACCAUGACCCAAAACCCGAAAUCUGCUUCAUGUGGGAAGACUGGAAAAUGUAAUUAAAAGGAAAAACCC
rnacentral:lncRNA from 1 species